UACGGGGGGGGUAAGCGUUGUUCGGAAUUACUGGGCGUAAAGGGCUCGUAGGCGGCCAACUAAGUCAGACGUGAAAUCCCUCAGCUUAACUGGGGAACUGCGUGUGAUACUGGAUGGCUUGGAUUUGGGAGAGGGAUGCGGAAUUCCAGGUGUAGCGGUGAAAUGCGUAGAUAUCUGGAGGAACACCGGUGGCGAAGGCGGCGUUCUGGACUGUUACUGACACUGAGGAACGAAAGCCAGGGGAGCAAACGGG
rnacentral:rRNA from 1 species